GUGAUUGGACACGGUAAUGGUUGUUUGACUUAAUGUCAUUACAGCCUUAGCCAGUCACAUAGAGUAAAAUAGGUGGUGUAUGCCGACAGCAUCCAACAAAGAUAGUGGGUGUUGUGCAAAUGCUCCAUACAUU